rnacentral:lncRNA from 10 species
GAGGGAAUGUGUGGGCUGAAGGCAGCAGUAGGGCGAUGGAAAGCCUGGCCAAGGGCUUCUAGAACUUGAAGCUCACCAUUUUUGGAUGACAUUCUGUGAACGAAGUGUUCUCUAUGAGAUACUAAGAGCAAUAUAGGGUAAUCACUGGUGACAGAAACAUCUGCUCAUGCAGGUUCAUGUCAAAGUCCAGGGUUGAAGGAGAACCCCUCAUCCCAGCUCUCUCCCUCUGUCAAGAUGCUUUUCCUUGGAAUCCAGCUGCCAUGUUGUGAGAAAGCCCAGGGCACCGCAGAGACCACAUGUGGGUGUUCCAGCCAACAGCCCCAGCUAGGUCCCCAUGGAGAGCCCACACCAACCACCAGAUAUGAGGGUUCAGACUCCAGCCCACAGUCUUCAAGUCUUCCAGCUGCAGUCCCAGACAUCAUGAAACCAUUCUGCUGUGACCUGUCAGAAUUUCUGACCCCAGAAACUGUUGGAGAUAAUAAAUAAUUACUGUUGUUU